rnacentral:lncRNA from 1 species
AGGUCACACCCAUUUGACUUCACACCCUGCCUUGGCUUCCGACAAGAAGCCCCACCUAAAGCACGCGCUGUGCUUCCGCGAAGAACUCAAGGGUAUCUCGGCCGAAAGCCGAAGAUUGGUGUCGCUGUGCGCCCUCGAAGACCAUGGAGUCCUGGAUGGCGAGGAGGUCAACGUAACUAAGGUCAUGGAACUUCUGCGAACAAAGAUUGAUGCAGCAGAGGAUUCAGUAGCAAAAGAGGCCUUAUCUACAGCCCUUUCCAACUUGUCUGAGGAACCCCUAGAAGCUGACCUAUUACAUUUCAUGGAGCUCAAGAAGUCUCUUAUGAACUCCUGCCUUAUGAACGUGGUUGCAAGCCUAACCGAAGAGAAACUAUUAGCGAAGUGUUCAAAUUCAUAAGUGUCUAAGGAAGCAUUGACUUUGCGAAUAUGGAUCCCUGGCUUUUGACUUGAUAUCCUCUACGAAUGAUACCCUCAUAAGGCAACACAGCAAACCUAUAAACAUUGUAGUCAAUAGAUGCAACAUCUUGACCCAUUUUCCUCCCAAAAUAAAGACUGCAGCAUA